rfam:Aedes albopictus isolate Foshan contig94248, whole genome shotgun sequence.
UGUUAUGUGGCUUUGUUGGUUAAAGCACCGGUCUAGCGAAUACGGAGUCGUGGGUUCCAAUCCCACCAGAACGC